rnacentral:rRNA from 1 species
GAUGAACGCUGGCGGCGUGCCUAAUACAUGCAAGUCGAGCGAACAGACGAGGAGCUUGCUCCUCUGACGUUAGCGGCGGACGGGUGAGUAACACGUGGAUAACCUACCUAUAAGACUGGGAUAACUUCGGGAAACCGGAGCUAAUACCGGAUAAUAUAUUGAACCGCAUGGUUCAAUAGUGAAAGACGGUUUUGCUGUCACUUAUAGAUGGAUCCGCGCCGCAUUAGCUAGUUGGUAAGGUAACGGCUUACCAAGGCAACGAUGCGUAGCUGACCUGAGAGGGUGAUCGGCCACAAUGGAACCGAGACACGGUCCAGACUCCUACGGGAGGCAGCAGUAGGGAAUCUUCCGCAAAGGGCGAAAGCCUGACGGAGCAACGCCGCGUGAGUGAUGAAGGUCUUCGGAUCGUAAAACUCUGUUAUUAGGGAAGAACAAAUGUGUAAGUAACUAUGCACGUCUUGACGGUACCUAAUCAGAAAGCCACGGCUAACUACGUG